GAUGAACGCUAGCUACAGGCUUAACACAUGCAAGUCGCGGGGCAGCAUGGGGGUUGCUUGCAAUCCCCGAUGGCGACCGGCGCACGGGUGAGUAACGCGUAUCCAACCUGCCCUUCACCACGGGAUAACCCGGCGAAAGUCGGACUAAUACCGUAUGUUGUCCAUUGACGGCAUCCGAUUUGGACGAAAGGCUUGGCGGUGAGGGAUGGGGAUGCGUCCGAUUAGCCAGACGGCGGGGUAACGGCCCACCGUGGCUACGAUCGGUAGGGGUUCUGAGAGGAAGGUCCCCCACACUGGAACUGAGACACGGUCCAGACUCCUACGGGAGGCAGCAGUGAGGAAUAUUGGUCAAUGGGCGUAAGCCUGAACCAGCCAAGUAGCGUGCAGGAUGACGGCCCUAUGGGUUGUAAACUGCUUUUAUGCGGGGAUAAAGUGGCCCACGUGUGGGCUUUUGCAGGUACCGCAUUAAUAAGGACCGGCUAAUUCCGUG
rnacentral:rRNA from 1 species